GUAUAGUGCGUACGGAUUUGUGAACUGCCAUUGUUGAGGAAAAUAUUAUUUUUGGAGAAAUGAAAAGAAACUAAAUGGAAGGCAGUCGAAGGCAUCUGCACACAAACGACACUGGUUGGUGAUUCAAAACAUGAUACAGUACUAAGAUGAGCGGGAAACGAGGGCCGUGCAAGAGCUUCGCCAUCAGCAUCAUACAGAUUAUCACCAUUAUAUGCCAAGUGUUAACAGAAGAGCCCCGUUUUGCCGAGCCGAUACCCAACGUCACAGUUGCACUUGGCAGAGAUGCCAGCCUCCCGUGUGUGGUCGAG